rnacentral:misc_RNA from 1 species
GGUCACACCGCAGUCGCAUACGGUUGUUUCCAUAUGAACAAACUGUUUUUUUUUAAGCGGAGUGCGGUGCUGAGAAAUUCGUAAAGCUCCUUUUUGAAACCUUGUAUUUUAUGUAACGGCCGUGCGGUGCAACCAAUAUCCAAGCGGAAGGAGGUCCACACACUCCCCCGGCGCCGCCUGAGCGUGGUCGUCCUGCUCCGCACUUUAAGCACCGCCACCCCCACCAGCGCCCCCCAACCCGUGAAACAUUACGCGAAAAUCGAUUUCGACUGCAGGCGCAGGAAGAAACAGCAGAAAGUAUGUCCCACGGCGAUGUGGACCCAGAGUUAGAGAUGACAUCGCCCCACUGGAUGCAUAGGGAAGCUGAAAGUUGUCCAAGGAUGCACACAAUCUGGAGGCUAGAGCGCUGGCGGAGCAGCAUGCUUCUCCUAAUCGGACUGGCCUUGUGCGUCCUUCGGGCCCCUGGAUGCAGUGCCACGGACACGGACAUUGCGCUGGACGCCAAGGCCACGCUCAAUCACCGGAUCCAGAGCCUGGAUCUGCUGGUCUUCGUGUUCCUACUGGCACUCACAGUGCUCACUAUUUGGCUGUUCAAACAUCAUCGCGUCUCCUGGCUCCACGAGACCGGAUUGGCCGUCAUCUACGGCCUGAUUGUGGGAGCAAUUAUACGGUAUGCCGGCACCUCCGCCACUUUGGUUCACAUGCAGGUGGAGCCUCAAGGAGUUCCAACGUACAGCGAUAAAUUGCCGCCUGAUACACUUUGGUUUAGGUACCCUGUUAACCAAACAAAUAGCACAAAGCUACCCGAGGGAAUUAAGACAUAUGCCUACGUGUUUCGCGGACAGGUACACGAUGUGGAUGAAAAUGAAAUCGAUCUUAAGGCUACGUUCGAUCCGGAGGUCUUUUUCAAUAUCAUCCUGCCCCCAAUUAUAUUUUAUGCUGGCUAUAGUUUGAAAAAGAAAUACUUCUUUCGCAAUCUGGGUGCCAUACUUACGUUUGCCAUUGUGGGCACGACAUUGUCGGCCUUCCUGAUCGGAGGCUUCAUGUACGGCUGUGUGAAACUGAUGCCAAAUUACUUGAGUAGCAGUUUCUCAUUCCUGGACACCUUAUACUUUGGAGCCCUGAUAUCGCCCACAGAUCCGCUCACCAUUCUAGCCAUAUUUAACGAUCUUCGGGUCGACGUAAACUUAUAUGCGCUAGUCUUGGGCGAAUCUGUGCUCAACGAUGCCGUGGCCAUUGUCCUCAGUGGAGCCAUUCAAAAUUAUGGUGAACACUAUUCCGAUACUGGGGAAUUUGAAACUACAGCUUUUCUACGCUCGUUAAGCGACUUCUUCUCUAUCUUCUUACUAUCUCUGAUGAUUGGCGCGGCCAUGGGAUGCUUGACAGCAUUGAUGACCAAAUUUACUCGGGUUCGAGACUUUCCUUUACUAGAGUCCGCGCUCUUCGUGCUCAUGAGCUACAGCACCUUCCUGCUGGCUGAGGCAACAGAACUUACAGGAGUGGUGGCCGUGCUCUUCUGUGGCAUCUGCCAGGCUCACUACACGUACAACAACUUAUCGGAGGAUUCCCGCCAAAGGACAAAACAGAUAUUCGAGCUCCUGAACUUUCUGGCAGAGAACUUUAUCUUUUCCUAUAUUGGCGUAUCGAUGUUCACCUUUCCCAAGCAUCAUUUUGACGCUGGGUUUAUUAUAACAGCUUUUAUUUGCGCUGCCAUAGGAAGGGCCGUGAAUGUGUAUCCCUUGUCGUGGCUGCUGAACAUUAGGCGCAAGCCGAAGAUUUCAUCAAACUUUCAGCAUAUGCUGUUCUUUGCUGGACUUCGUGGCGCCAUGUCCUUUGCCUUGGCCAUCCGAAAUACAGUGUCGGAUGCACGACAGACUAUGCUGACUGCCACAUCGCUGAUUGUCAUCUUUACGGUUGUAAUUCAGGGUGGGGCUGCCAAUUUCCUGCUGAAUUGGUUGAAAAUACCCGUUGGCGUGGACGAUGAGACUGAACAACUAAAUAACUAUCAAGUACACAGUGUUUACAAUUCAAUGGACAAUUCACAUCCGCAGACGUCUGAUGGUUAUUUGCAGGAUGUGGAGGGCGGUGGGGUAGGUCGCGGAAAGGUGCGCUUGUCCGGUGGAACAGAUUCUAACUUGGACACGUCAGUGGACGGUCCGAAUGGCAGUUUGGGCGGAGCAAGCAGCGGUCGUCGUCGCAACAGUCACGAGAAGGCCAUUCUGGCAAGGAUCUGGGGAAACUUCGAUACCAAGUACAUGAAGCCCUUGCUGACGCACUCGCGACCCACUUUGCUGGAGACACUGCCCGUUUGCUGCAACCCCAUUGCCAGGCUGCUUACCACCACGCAGCAGCUAACGCAGGAUGGUAGCGAGUUCAGGCGCGUGGACUCGGACUCGGACAUUUGCAUAGACAAUGAUACCGGGAACGGUCUUAGCCAGGAUGCAACCGGAGCGGUUCCGGGUUCGGGUGUGGGCGUGGGGCGGCGGAACUCGCUGAGUCGCACGGAGACCCAGACAUGAUUAACUUAGAAACGAGUCAGUGAAAUUGAUAUCCGAUUAACCAAAGCUUCUUAGAGCACAGCAGUCAGGAAUGUUCGUUUAUAUUGUUCACUUUUAAUUUCUGUAUUUUUCCUCAUAAUCUAAUUUCUUAGAUUCUAACACGCGACUAACCAUGUUGGAGGCGAUCAUCGAAAUGCUUACAUAUAAGUUCAAUUAGUGUUUAGUUUUCUUUUGUUAUUUAUUGAAUUGGUCUCAUUUGAAAUCGAAAAUGUGAAAAAUGUACAAAUUAGAAUAUUACUUUUCAGUUUCUCCUUGUUUAUGAUAUGUGAUUCGGAACUCUAGUAAUCUAGUAAUAAACAUAAAUUUAAUAUCAAGCUUAUCGACUAAUUUAAAAGUUGUUGUGCAACUAUUUAAGAUCAGUAAGGGCACUAAAGUUAUCAAAAUUAUUGUUUUCUUCGAGCUGACGUACACCAUACCAUACCGUAUAACACUAUAAAUUACAUGCAUAUAUAGCCUCUUUGAUUCUAUUAUUUUUACAACUUCGUUUUUUCUAAAUACAAUAUAAAUAUAUAUACACACAAGCCAAAUUAAAUGGCAUAGCAAAAGUUUAUACGAAUACUUAUAGACAUAUUUCCCUUCUCUUGUUUAUCCGACAUGGAAAAAUGUGCUAACAUGUAUAUUGUAAUCGCCUGAAAACCACAAACCAUAUUAUAUUCAGAUGGAGAUUCUGGAGCAUGUCCAAAGUCCGGUAUCGACGAGAAUCCGGCUCUUAGGAUUUUACGGAAAAAAGUUAUAAGGCGUCAGGCAAACAUAUUACUAUUAAAUUUUUGAUGUAUUUUACACAACAUAAACUUACAGCUUUUUCGUUCUAAGCAAGUUAGUGUAAAUAUAUCGUUUUGAAAACGGACUAAUUGUAUUCGGUUUUAUUUUUAAGUUUAAAGCAGAUAUAUUUGCUAAUCUAUUAGAUUUUCCGUAUUACCUAGAACCCCAUUUCUUACUAUAUACGCUGUAUUUAAAACAAAGCGAAGCUCUCUGAAAAUAUUAAUUGUUGUGCUGUUAAUUUUUAAGUCAAAAACGAAAUAAAUAAAAAAAAUGAA